CCUACGGGCGGUAGCAGUGAGGAAUAUUGGUCAAUGGGAGAGAUCCUGAACCAGCCAAGCCGCGUGAGGGAAGACGGCCCUAUGGGUUGUAAACCUCUUUUGUCGGAGAACAAAACCCGGGACGAGUCCCGGACUGCGUGUAUCCGACGAAAAAGCAUCGGCUAACUCCGUGCCAGCAGCCGCGGUAAUACGGAGGAUGCGAGCGUUAUCCGGAUUUAUUGUGUUUAAAGGUUGCGUAGGCGGGCUGUUAAGGCAGCGGUAAAAUUGCGGGGCUCAACCCAGGCGAGCCGUUGAAACUGGCAGACUUGAGUGGGCGAGAAGUACGCGGAAUGCGCGGUGUAGCGGUGAAAUGCAUAGAGAUCGCGCAGAACUCCGAUUGCGAAGGCAGCGUACCGGAGCCAGACUGACGCUGAGGCACGAAAGCGUGGGGAUCGAACAGGAUUAGAUACCCUUGUAGUC
rnacentral:rRNA from 1 species